ACCGGCGUGGCGAAAUCGGCAAACGCUGAGGCAUCACACACCUCUGGACUCACGCCCUUGCGGGUUCGAAUCCCGCCGCCGGUA
rnacentral:tRNA from 1 species